rnacentral:rRNA from 1 species
AUGCAUUGUACUUUCCGCUGCUUUCUGAUUGUAAUAAAUGUCAUGAGACAUUUCUCUAUGUAUGAAUUGUGGCAAGAUAUAUUUAAACUUGUAAUACCUUUUACGCAUUGUGCGAUGAUACCAUUUCGCUGUGUUGUCAACAAUGAUCCUGGGGUUGACAAAUAUACACAGGAGGGUCUGGAAGUUAAUUCUGGGUUCUCACAGGAUCAGUCCAAGAAGGGGUUCUUGCCUGUAUUGCAAGGUGUGAAAUUGAGCUUGGCUCAAAGCCCGGCCAUGGCAGAAGAUAGAGAAAAGAUGAGUGUCAUCCCCGAUGCCUCAGCCAUAGGGUCUAUUAUGUAUGCCAUGCUGUGUACCAGACCUGAUGUAAACCUUGCCAUAAGUUUGGUAGGAAGGUACCAAAGUAAUCCCGGCAUGGAACAUUGGAUAGCGGUCAAGAAUAUCCUGAAGUACCUAAAAAGGACUAAGGAUAUGUUUCUUGUUUAUGGAGGUGAUGAAGAGCUCGUCGUAAAGGGUUACGUCGAUGCUAGCUUCGACAAAGAUCUGGAUGACUCCAAGUCACAAACCGGAUACGUGUAUAUUUUGAAUGGUGGGGCAGUAAGAUUGUGUAGUUGCAAGCAAAGCGUCGUGCGGGAUCUACAUGUGAAGCGGAGUACAUGGCAGCCUCGGAGGCAGCACAUGAAGCAAUCUGGAUGA